CAGCCAGACACAACCCAGGGGUUCAGGCACCACUCCCAAGUCCCUACCACCUUUGAGAAGCCAAAGCCUCAAGUCCCGCUCCGGCCCCUCUCAGCUCCGGGACCAGGGGAGCGCGUCCCUCCCGCUCCAAGCCGCCUCGAGGACCACCCGGCACCACCACCAGAAGGGGCAAGAGCCUGCACCUGCCGACAGGGAGUGGCGCUGGCUCACGAAUGGCGUGCCCCAGCUGGACUGGGCAUCAGAUGCCGACCUUGCCCUGACUGAGAUACCACCAGUGACAAGAGAUCCUGCUCAGGAGUUUAGCAUGGAGAGGCCCCUGGGGGUGAAAUCACGCCCUCACUCCUGUUCUGUGUGUCCCUCAGGCUGAGUGUCCUCCUGGUCAGCCUUAUGGCUGCUUUCAGAGGUAGUGGUCUGAGUAAGAGACAGGACAGGAGGCAGGUGCCAGAGUUCAAGAGUCAGCCCUCUUCUGCAAGCCUGGCUGGUGGCCUGGGAUCAGAGCAGCCAGACCUCUUCACUGCCUGCUGGGCUCAAACUCCAGUUCUGCUUCUUACCAGCUGGGUGGCUUGGCUUAUUUCUUUGACCUUAAAUGCCUUCUUUUGUGAAAUGGGGUCAUCACAGUGCCUGCCUCCCAGGGUGUUCAGGAGGACUGAAGAAUGUGGUAAAACAUCUAACGAAAGUGCCUGGCACAUAGUAGUUCCUCAAUAAACUGCCAUUUCCUUCUCCAUCA